rnacentral:rRNA from 1 species
GCGCACCAGGCGCGAAAACUCUGCAAUACGCGAAAGCGUGACAGGGCUACCCCGCGUGUCGUCCGCUGAGGACGACUUUUCCACGCUGUAAGGAGGCGUGGGAAUAAGGAGAGGGCAAGUCUGGUGUCAGCCGCCGCGGUAAUACCAGCUCUCCGAGUGGUAGGGACGUUUAUUGGGCUUAAAGCGUCCGUAGCCGGCUCAACAAGUCUCCCGUUAAAUCCAACGAUUCAAUCGUUGGACUGCGGGAGAUACUGCUGGGCGAGGAGGCGAGAGAGGCCGACGGUAUUCCCGGAGUAGGGGUGAAAGCUUAUAAUUCCGGGAGGACCACCAGUGGCGAAGGCGGGCGGCUAGAACGCGCUCGACGGUGAGGGACGAAAGCGGGGGGAGCGAACCGGAUUAGAUACCCGCGGAGUCC